CGAGAAAAAUCGAGUUGGGCGAGUCUGAUCGUUUCUUUCCUCGUUUUGCCCCCUCCUCCGGAUCCCGUGUGUUCGCCCCCCUCCCAGCUCCGCCGCCACCGCGACCCACCCCGCGCGAGCCUUCCUCCGCGACCCACCCCAUCGCCAUCGCACGCGCGCGCCUGCCCUCCGCGACCCACCCCUUCACGCGCGCGCGCGGCUGCCCCUCCGCGACCCGGCCAUCGCGCGCGCCAAAUCCCUGCCCACGAAUGCCUGUCGCCGUUCUCCGCGCAGCCGCGAGCUCUCCCUCCCGCACAACUGCGAGCUCCUGCCUCCUCUAGAAAUUCCCGUGCGCCCAGUUCAGUUUCCCGCCCAAUCUGCCGCGCAGAGGCUUUCCCCCUCCAAUCUCCCGCUCGGAGGUUGACUGAUCCAUUAUAAUUCCAUCUUCCCCAAACUCAUAGUGCCACGCACCCCAUUUGACCAAAUUAAUCCCAAAUCGAUCUCGAAGAGAGCCUCAGGAUGCAUCAAUCAGAGAAGCAAGGUGUACAUCAAAAGAAAUCGAGGAGGCCCUCUUUGAUUUCCAGGAGAGGCGCCGGUGCUACUGCCACAGCUUCUCCAGGCACUAGGGCUCCUGCCGGAGGUCCAAGCAGCGCUUCUCCAGGUACUGCUGCUCCUGCAAGCGUUACAGGCGCCGGUGGUCGAACAGGCAUUCAUCCAACUCAUCAUGCAUUUUGGCCUGCAACAUCUCUUGGCAGCACCUUCACGGUGGAUUCAACAUCUCCUUGCACCUCUAAAUGUCUGUUUCCACCAGGUGGGUUUGUGAACUCUUUAGGGCGAGUUUGGAAACUCGAAUCCCGCUGGGGAUCCCGUCAUUUUCCAGGGGCUGGAAGCCCACGUGGGCAACUCACCACGGGCCGAAUCGCCUCGUCGUUUGGGAGCCCAUGAGAUGGGGACGCCUGACCGCAUCCACGAGUUUUCCCCGGGGCGAGCCUUCCUCACCUCGAGGGUCCUGGCGGCGCAUCCUCGAGUGCCGUCACCGCCGAAGCAACACGAGGAAGCUAGCGCCAACUCACCAAGCCCCCGCCGCUCCGUCCAAGCGCCACCGUCCGUCGGCCUUCCCGUCCGGCGCUGCUGCCCCUACGCCUUCCCGUCCGGUGCCGCCGCUCCGCCUCCCCGUCAACGACAACGCCGCCGUUCACUCGCCGUCUCCGGUGCUCUCCGCGACGAAUUUCUUGAUCCACAUCGACACCACCUCGACCAGCGACCAAGCGCUGCCGCCCCUCCGCGUCCCUAUCCAGGCGCUGCCGCCCCCCUCCGUGUCCCCGUCCCUGCCCAGGAGCAACUCUGCCAUCUCGAUCUGUUUCGAUAAGACCCUCUUCCUCCUCGGCUAGCAUAUGUGAGUUUUCCCCCUCACCCUCUCCUCCUCUUUCCUGAUUCCGUGUAGAUCUUGGUGCAUUAGCUCCAUGAUCCACUCAUUGUCUGUCAACAGCCUCUGCAUCCAAGAUGUGCGAACCUACUGAACGAAAUUGUGAUGCUAUAUGGCUAUUCAGAGUAGCAUUUUCUUGUAGUCUGUAUUUAGUCACUGUAAUUGUGAUGCUGAACAAAAUUGUGAUGCUAUGCUGAAGCUUUAUUCGUCCUUUGGUUCAGUGAUUACUGAAAAACAACUUUGUAAAUAGUAAUAAGGUUUUUGUUCUGUCAAACACAAUCAAGGUUUGUGAGCUUGCUUGCUGCUGCUUAGAUCAAUAUUGGCUUCUCACGUCAACUAUGCUAAUGCUGAGGUGAUAAUCAGUCCUUCCCUAGCAUCAGGAUGUAUAUGCAGACUAAUUUUUGUCUCUCCUGAUUUCUAGUUAGCAUCAUGAUAUUGUACAUCUUGUAAUUAAUGUGGCUUUUUUUUUCUUAAACAACAGCUUCUUGAAUAAUGUGGCCAAAUAAAAAUAUUAUGAAUGAUGCCUACUACUAGUCCUGAUGUUUUAUGUUGGUGGAAAGACCGCUAUGUAGUAAUUCAGCCAUAGAUUGCUAUGCUGGCUAUGUUUUAUGUUAGGUACAGCUGUCGAAUGAAUCAGUCUUGUUAUUUUGGUUGUUUGUUCAGAUAGCUUGCUUUGGUUAGUUGUAAUUAUUUCAUUCACAGCAGCAGAUUAGCAGAUUGCUUUGGUUAGUUGUAAUCAUUUUCAGAUUGACAGCAGCAGUGCAGGUUCUUGUUUAGUUCAGAAUGUAAGCGGUGGCAGUAGCUUUUUUUUAGUUCAGCUGCUCGGCUGGUUUGUUUCUCUGAAUUUCUAUCAGUUCGGUUCAGGACAGAUAAGAAGCUAAGCGCCCUUGCUAAGUGACUUAACCGAUACUAGAUGGAAUUAAUUGAAAGAGAGCACUCAACGUGGAAUUAAUAGUA